rnacentral:rRNA from 1 species
AGUGAACGCUGGCGGUAGGCCUAACACAUGCAAGUCGAACGGCAGCACAGUAAGAGCUUGCUCUUACGGGUGGCGAGUGGCGGACGGGUGAGGAAUACAUCGGAAUCUACUUUUUCGUGGGGGAUAACGUAGGGAAACUUACGCUAAUACCGCAUACGACCUACGGGUGAAAGCAGGGGAUCUUCGGACCUUGCGCGAUUGAAUGAGCCGAUGUCGGAUUAGCUAGUUGGCGGGGUAAAGGCCCACCAAGGCGACGAUCCGUAGCUGGUCUGAGAGGAUGAUCAGCCACACUGGAACUGAGACACGGUCCAGACUCCUACGGGAGGCAGCAGUGGGGAAUAUUGGACAAUGGGCGCAAGCCUGAUCCAGCCAGACCGCGUGGGUGAAGAAGGCCUUCGGGUUGUAAAGCCCUUUUGUUGGGAAAGAAAAGCAGCAGGUUAAUACCCCGCUGUUCUGACGGGACCCAAAGAAUAAGCACCGGCUAACUUCGG